UUGAUCCUGGCUCAGAUUGAACGCUGGCGGCAGGCCUAACACAUGCAAGUCGAGCGGAUGAGAAGAGCUUGCUCUUCGAUUCAGCGGCGGACGGGUGAGUAAUGCCUAGGAAUCUGCCUGGUAGUGGGGGACAACGUUUCGAAAGGAACGCUAAUACCGCAUACGUCCUACGGGAGAAAGCAGGGGACCUUCGGGCCUUGCGCUAUCAGAUGAGCCUAGGUCGGAUUAGCUAGUUGGUGAGGUAAUGGCUCACCAAGGCGACGAUCCGUAACUGGUCUGAGAGGAUGAUCAGUCACACUGGAACUGAGACACGGUCCAGACUCCUACGGGAGGCAGCAGUGGGGAAUAUUGGACAAUGGGCGAAAGCCUGAUCCAGCCAUGCCGCGUGUGUGAAGAAGGUCUUCGGAUUGUAAAGCACUUUAAGUUGGGAGGAAGGGCAUUAACCUAAUACGUUAGUGUUUUGACGUUACCGACAGAAUAAGCACCGGCUAACUCUGUGCCAGCAGCCGCGGUAAUACAGAGGGUGCAAGCGUUAAUCGGAAUUACUGGGCGUAAAGCGCGCGUAGGUGGUUUGUUAAGUUGAAUGUGAAAUCCCCGGGCUCAACCUGGGAACUGCAUCCAAAACUGGCAAGCUAGAGUACGGUAGAGGGUGGUGGAAUUUCCUGUGUANCGGUGAAAUGCGUAAAUAUANGAAGGAACACCANUGGCGAAGGCGAACACCUGGACUGAUACUGACACUGAGGUGCGAAAGCUUGGGGAAGCAACAGGAUUAAAUACCCUGGUAGUCCACGC
rnacentral:rRNA from 1 species